CCUACGGGAGGCAGCAGUGGGGAAUAUUGCACAAUGGGGGAAACCCUGAUGCAGCGACGCCGCGUGAGCGAAGAAGUAUUUCGGUAUGUAAAGCUCUAUCAGCAGGGAAGAAAAUGACGGUACCUGACUAAGAAGCUCCGGCUAAAUACGUGCCAGCAGCCGCGGUAAUACGUAUGGAGCAAGCGUUAUCCGGAUUUACUGGGUGUAAAGGGAGCGUAGGCGGUAAGGCAAGUCUGAUGUGAAAGGCCAGGGCUCAACCCUGGGACUGCAUUGGAAACUGUUUAACUGGAGUGUCGGAGAGGCAAGUGGAAUUCCUAGUGUAGCGGUGAAAUGCGUAGAUAUUAGGAGGAACACCAGUGGCGAAGGCGGCUUGCUGGACGAUGACUGACGCUGAGGCUCGAAAGCGUGGGGAGCAAACAGGAUUAGAUACCCGAGUAGUC
rnacentral:rRNA from 1 species